rnacentral:tRNA from 1 species
GCCUAGAUAGCUCAGUUGGGAGAGCGUUAGACUGAAGAUCUAAAGGUCCCCGGUUCUAUCCCGGGUCUGGGCA